UACGUACCCGGGCCUUGUACACACCGCCCGUCACGUCAUGGGAGUGGGGAACGCCUGAAGUCCGUGGGUUAACCGGUAACGGGGGCAGCGGCCGAGGGCGGGCUUCGCGACUGGGACG
rnacentral:rRNA from 1 species